rnacentral:rRNA from 1 species
UACGGAGGGGGUUAGCGUUGUUCGGAAUGACUGGGCGUAAAGCGCGCGUAGGCGGAUCGGAAAGUCGGGGGUGAAAUCCCGGGGCUCAACCCUGGAAUGGCCUUCGAAACUCCCGGUCUUGAGUUCGAGAGAGGUGGGUGGAAUUCCGAGUGUAGAGGUGAAAUUCGUAGAUAUUCGGAGGAACACCAGUGGCGAAGGCGGCCCACUGGCUCGACACUGACGCUGAGGUGCGAAAGCGUGGGGAGCAAGCAGG